rnacentral:rRNA from 1 species
UACGUAGGGGGCAAGCGUUGUCCGGAUUUAUUGGGCGUAAAGAGCGUGUAGGCGGCCAGACAGGUCCGUUGUGAAAACUCGAGGCUCAACCUCGAGACGCCGAUGGAAACCGUCUGGCUAGAGUCCGGAAGAGGAGAGUCGAAUUCCUGGUGUAGCGGUGAAAUGCGCAGAUAUCAGGAAGAACACCCGUGGCUAAGGCGGCUCUCUAGUACGGUACUGACGCUGAGACGCGAAAGCGUGGGGAGCGAACAGG